rnacentral:rRNA from 1 species
AUGCGGGUGAGAAGUACAAUGAAAUGGACAGCGCCGAGCCCCGGGGUGGCGAAGAUACAAGUUGACGGAGGUCUUGCAAGAAAGGGUAAUAGUGGCGCAUCCGCUACGGUUUGCCGUGAUCACACAGGCCUCUUCUUUGGUUCAUCAGCUAUGGUAUUUACCGACAUUUCAGACCCGGCAGCAUUGGAGGCACUCGCUUGCCGUGAAGCUCUAGCGCUUGCGCUGGACUUGUCCCUCGACAAAGUUGUUAUUGCAUGUGAUAAUAAAUUAGUGGUGGUGGAGAUAAAGAAUGAAACUGAAGGAAGAUGUUGGUCGCCAUUUGUGGCUGGGUUUACCCUAUGA